rnacentral:lncRNA from 1 species
AAAGGAACUAAUUAAUAGUAACGCAGUAAUAGCAGGUGACUUUAACACCCCACUUACACUAAUGGGCAGGUCAUCCAAACAGAAAAUCAACAAGGUACCAAUGGCUUUGAAUGAUACACUAGACCAAAUGGAUUUAACAGAUAUAUUCAGAACAUUCCCAUUCUAAAACAGCAGAAUACUCAUUAGUUUCAAGUGGACAUGGAACAUUCUCCAGAAUAGAUCACCUAUUAGGCCACAAAACAAAAGUCUCAACAAAUUCAAAGAGUUAAGUCAUACCAGGCAUAUUUUCCAUCCACGACACUAUAAAACUAGAAAUCAACCACAAGGAAAAAACUGGAAAGAGCACAAAAAUAUGGAGGUUAAAUAAGAUGCUACCAAACAAUGAAUGGGUCAAUCAAGAAAUAAAAAAUUACAUGGAAACACAUGAAAAUGAAAAUACAAUGAUCCAAAAUUUGGGGAUGCAGCAAAAGCAGAUUUAAGAGGGAAUUUUAUAGCAAUACAGGCCUACCUCAAGAAGCAAAAAACAGUCUCAAAUAAACAACUUAACCUUAUACCUAAAGGAUCUAGAAAAAGAACAAUAAACAAAACACAAAAGCAGCAGAAGGAAGGAAACAAUAAAGAUUAGAAAAGAAAUAAAUGAAAUAGAAAUUAAAAAAAAAAACAGUGAAACUAGAAGCUGGUUCUUUGAAAAGAUCAACAAAAUUGAUAAACUUCUAGCCAGACUCACCAAGAAAAGAGAGAGAGAGAAGACUUAAAAUCGGAAAUGAAAGAGGGUAAAUAACAACUGACACCACAGAAAUACAAAGGAUUAUAAGAGACUAUCAUGAAAAAUUACAUGCCAAUGAAUUGGACAACCUAGAAUAAAUGGAUACAUUCCUAGAUAUGUAUAAUAUCCCAAAACUGAAUCAGAAAAAGUAGAAAAUUUGAACAGACUGACUACCAACAAUGAAAUUGAAUCUGUAAUAAAAAAAAACUCCCAACAAACAGAAGUCCAGGACCAGACAGCUUCAUGGGCGAAAUCUAUCAAAUAUUUGAAUAAGAAAGAAGAAACCUAUUGUUUUCAAACCAUUCCAAAAGAAAUAGAAGAGGAAGGAAAGCUUCCAAAUUCAUACUAUGAGGCCAGCACUGCCCUGAUACCAAAGCCAGAUAAAGACACCGGAAAAAAAAAAAAAAAAAAAAAA